AUUAUGAUUAGAACCGUAUAAAAUUAUUUUCUAUUAUCUACUUUGUAUAACCUGAUUUAAUUACUCGUGGAUAUUGUUAGUCAAUUUUUAAUUUUCAGGAUUUAUGCAAUUGCUGUUAAACACAUUCGACAGGGUCAGUUGACCCUAGUAGCAAAUUGGGCCAAGUGUGGGCCUAGAUGGGUGGCUUGGUCGGGGUCACCUUUAGUUUGGUACUGGACCCUUUUUCCACAUAUUGGGUUUAACUUC
rnacentral:lncRNA from 1 species